UAAACGACUCUCGGCAACGGAUAUCUCGGCUCUUGCAUCGAUGAAGAACGUAGCGAAAUGCGAUACUUGGUGUGAAUUGCAGAAUCCCGCGAACCAUCAAUUCUUUGAACGCAAGUUGCGCCCGAAGCCAUUCGGCCGAGGGCACGCCUGCCUGGGUGUCGUUA
rnacentral:rRNA from 3 species